rnacentral:lncRNA from 1 species
GUAACGUGGGCUUGUAACCAAGUGGGGUAUUAAAGUGGCUGAAUGGUGUGUUGAACAAAGGCUCAACCUAUCCGGUCUUGGGUCGCCAUCUCCUCACUCCCAAACCCUAGUCCACCACGGACUGGAUAAGCACCUGGAAUAUCAAAAGUUGAGUUUGCAUUGGAGUCAGAUGGGAGGGCUCCGGAUCCCUAAUCCUAUAGGGAGACUUCCACCAAACAGCCACUUUUUGUUUUUAAAAAAAAUUAUUUUGGGACUCUUGGCAAUUUUAUUGAACUAUAUAUUGUAUACUUCGUACCUUAUCAUAUCAAACAUAUUU